UUUUGUUUCAUAGAUUUAUAUUAUCGAGUAAAUAAUUAAACAUUUAGUUUUUGUUUAAUUUUUAAAAUAAACUAUAGAGUUUAAAAUUUGUUUUCAUUGGUUUAAGGUAGUAAAGAUUAAUCAUUGUUAGAUAAUAUGAUUUUUAUUAUUAAAAAAAAACUUUAUAAUUUUAAAAGUUAACAUCGACAAAUGUUUAAAUGAUUAACAUACGGAGGUAUAGUAUUACAACAUUAAAUUAUAUAUAUUUAAUUUAUAUUUUCUAUAAAUUCAAUGAAUCAUCUAUGGUUUAAAUCCAAUUAUUGACAGUCCAAUAAAAGUUUCUAGUAUACCCAAAAUUUAAAUGAUAAGAUUAGAUAUUAAAUGUAACAUGACUUUAUAGAAAUAUGUCCACUAGAUACGUUUUUAAAAAUAUCACACAUAAAUUAAAGUUGUGACUUCUGUUUUAAUAUAUAAGAUGAGUAAUGAGUACUGUUGUUAAGUAGAGUAAUGGUCUCUCUUGUUCAAAUUCCAUUUAGAUCUCUCUUUGUUUACAAUAAAUGCAUGACACUCAUCAAAAUAUCCAACUUUGAUGUGGCUGCAGUGCCUACUCUUUUGAUUUAGAGAAGAAUUGUCUUCUUGCUAAGAUCCUUGUGAUUUUUAUUUUAUUUUUGCUUUCUUUUGUAUAGUUGUUUACAUAUAUCGUAUGUUGCAUUGAAAUUUGUCUAGCAAUAUAAACGGAAAGUAACUUAUUAAAUUAAUAAUGCAUUUUAGUUCAGAAACAAACUAAAAAUGUAUUAAUGUAAGGUUUAUGUUUUCAAAUCUUUGGUUAUUUGAUUGAAUGUCUUAUUGUCGUUGUGUACCUAUCUUAAGUAGAGUUUUGUCUCUCACUCCUUGCGCCACGUCAUCAGGUAGAGGAGGGCAAAUUCUGACACGUUUCAUCCAUUAAAACAAUCUGCGUCUGAAACUGUGUCUUGUCUGUAAUGGGUUUUCUGUCUCAUCUUCCGAUUGGUUUUCAAUACUUAUUAUCAGGCCCAGUUUCAUCUUGUGGUUGGCCCUGUGAAUUAUUAGGUUUUUUUUCAUCGUCUUCUCACCUUCUCUUUCGUAUGUUUGAAUCUGAUUUCUCCAGUAUCCUAGAGCUUCAAUCAACUCACGUAACUUAAUGUCCUUGAAUAUAAAGCCACUACUCCCACUGUAAAGCAUUAACUCGACCUCUUAGCAUCCAAAGUAACCGCCUGAAGCUAGCAGUAUAAAUAAUCCCUCUAGCAACGAUGAACAGAAAAACCUCACUGAGAUCCAGAAGAAAAGUUUGUUCUACUUAUCGACGAUGGCGAAUUUCUUCAUCCUCCUUGCUGAUUUUAAAUUCGGUUGCUGUUCCAACACUUCUGAGGUUCGUUUGCCGAUGUUUGGGAGACCAGGAAUGUGAGGAAAGGCGAUGAACGACUGAGUCUUGACAUGCUACUCAUUGAUGAGCAGCCAACGAUUAUGCAAGGAUCUGUUAGUUCGAGUCGCAUACCCAAAUUCAGGAACCCCCCUUCAACGAAGGUUCUGUCUACACGCUCAACUGUUUCGAUGUAACCCGGACUAACCCCAAUUUCCGAUUGUCUAUGCCCCCCUCUCAAUACGGUAAGUUCCAAAAAAUUAACAGAUCCCGUUAGGCCCAGACCUACUGAACUGUUUCGAUUCCGACCACACGACAAGUUACUUGCACUGGCAAGCACCAACAAACAACUUCCUGCUGCAGGAAAAGAAGAGUUUGACAAGUAAGUUCCCUUACCCUAAUUAGAUAAAUGCAACUUUGGUCUACUCCUAAUGAAAUAAAAUUUCCUUUUUGUUGACUGUCUUUCCAUGCUCAUACACUUACAUAUUGACAAGUAAUGGUACAAACUAUACAGCGUCUUCGUUAAAGGUGGUUCAUGCCCAUUGAACCUCUUACCGUUUCUGAGCUUAACCAAUUUAUUAUUGCUACUGACCCUCAGUUGAAAAAUUCAGCAAGAUGACGGUUGGUGUUAUAUUGACUGUGGUGGGUGUUCAAAGAAACUUUUCCAAGAGAUAUCUUCAUUCACAUGCCUCGCAUGUAAUGAAACUAAUGUUGCGGCUGCCCUCAAAUAAGUACCGGAUGAUAUUUACUGUCUCAGACGACACUGAUACAACGGCUUUCCUUGGUUUUGAUAUGGAGGUAGCUAGACUGCCGAACAUUCAGGCUUCUCAGGCUGCACAGAUUGUGGGAAUAAGUGUUGAUGCUUAGAGGUUGAUAGUGAACUACCCCGCUCCCUUUCUGAGAAUGUUGGGACUGCCUACACCUUCCUGCUCAGAUUAAAGGAUUUCAAUUUAACUUUAAAGCACCAAACCUUCACAUUUCUCGUAUUUUCCCGGCGUGAGAGCUUGCACCUAUGCUAGCCUUUGUGGAAGGUGCACAGGUCCUUGAAGCAGCGAAACCUGAAGUUAUGGCAUAAGGUUCAGAGCCCAAAGUUGAUAACACUUGCAAUGUUGGAGACAAGCUAUCUACAUCUGAUGGUUCACUUGCCGGACGUACAGCAUCAGAGAAAGAACAAACUGCUUCGGAUGAGAAUGCUCCUAAGAAAGCACGUUUGGAAUGAGUCCACUACUAGGACUUUAACAACCACGUCUUCUCUUUUUUUUUUUUUAACUCACCACGUCUUCUCUUUAUCUAAUAAUGCAUUAGCAUCUCUUACUUUUCUUUUAAUCUAUUUCCCUUUUUUAUUAAACUCAGUGUAGUGGUUGUUGUUUCGAUUAGUAAUAAAGCAUCUUUUCAAUUUC